UACGUAGGGUGCGAGCGUUGUCCGGAAUUAUUGGGCGUAAAGAGCUCGUAGGCGGUGUGUCACGUCGGCCGUGAAAACCUGCAGCUUAACUGUGGGCGUGCGGUCGAUACGGGCAUCACUGGAGUUCGGCAGGGGAGACUGGAAUUCCUGGUGUAGCGGUGAAAUGCGUAGAUAUCGUAAGGAAGACCAGUGGCGAAGGCGGGUCUCUGGACAGUUCCUGACGCUGAGGCACGAAGGUCAGGGGAGCAAACGGG
rnacentral:rRNA from 1 species